rnacentral:rRNA from 1 species
GACAGAGGGGGCAAGCGUUGCUCGGAAUUACUGGGCGUAAAGGGCGCGUAGGCGGGAUGGCAAGUCGGUCGUGAAAUCCUUCGGCCCAACCGAAGAACGUCGAUCGAUACUGCUGUUCUAGAGGAUUGCAGAGGAGACUGGAAUUCCUGGUGUAGCAGUGAAAUGCGCAGAUAUCAGGAGGAACACCGAUGGCGAAGGCAGGUCUCUGGGCCACUACUGACGCUGAGAAGCGAAAGCGUGGGGAGCGAACAGG